UUCUUCAUUGUACUCCAGGAGGUAGGUACAGGGAACACCUCUCAUGAUAGAUGGUCUCUUUGUGGAUCAUCACCAUGAGGAUAAACAGCUUCAUCGGACAGAUUUACAGACCUUAGUACUCUACCUUCCUGCAUCUGUCUGAGGAACUGACGAUAAUGGCCACAUCAUCAUGAUUCCAACAUCAUUAUGAUGACACAGUGCACCUUUCCUGGGGCCUUGGCAAUGAGACCUGACAUUCUGGGAUUCACACAACAGCAGAUCUGAGACACAAGUCUUGAGGGCCAAUGUGUCUGUUGGCGCUCACUAUAGAACUUCAUCAGAAGCUAAAGACCCUCCCUGGUUAUAAGGGCCUUCGUUACCGGGCUUGGCUAUCUGAAGUGUCCCGUGUUUAGUCUGCUCAGGUUUUUCUUCACUCUCAGCUAUUGUUAAGGAAAUUUUUCAGUCAAGCCCCAAGCAGUAGCAAGUCCCACCUGGACUCUGACUCACGAGAGAACUCUCUGAAUUAAGAAGAGUGAAAUGGAUAAACUUGAUGGGAAGAGGCAACUUUCACUCAGAAAAUGGCUUUCCAACAGGGAAGAAAGAAAGGAUCAUUCUAAACAACAAGUUAAAAGGAGAGCAAUUUAGUGGAGAGUAAGGGGGAAGAGGACAUACUACUGAGGAGAGUCAGCAUGGAAAGCAGCCUAGGUCAGCGUAUCCAGGAAGCUAGCUGCCAUCAUGGAGACUCCAACACCAAGUCUCCAAAGUGAUGGAAAUCAGAAGCCGACCUGAGGGUCAGAGUUGAGGCUUCAUGAAAGAAGUGAAAGACAGACAAUGUAAACUGGAGAAGUCUCAAUGGGUUUGCUCUAGAGAGUUUCCUGUGGAGACCAUAGUGGGAAGUUACCUGCUUCCUAGGUGAAGAUGGACAGUCAGAUGGACAGACAGACAGACAUGCAGGAUAAGCCCUAGGACCAAAUGAAAGAAGGAAGAUGGAAGGUUCCAUGGACUGUUUUCAGAAGCAACAUGCAGGCACUUGGUGGCACUUACUACCAUCUCUGGAACGUGGUGUGGCUGAUGGGCUUGUGAUGGUGUAACAUGUAGUUUUAAAAAACAAACCAUGGUAAACCGGCUAUAUACUGGCAUGGGAGGUCUCACCCACCUCGAUGGUGCCUGAGGCCAGCCUGCUGUUGAGCUGCUCACACUUCCCAGGUCAUCCACCCACUGUGGCUAGCCUGUGAAAGACAGUUACCACCCACUCAGAUUCCCUUAGCCCCAUAAAAUGAUAACACUAGAGACUUGCAAUGUGUCAACCAUAUUUAUAAACAGUAAAUCUCCAGCCCCAAAAUGCCAGU
rnacentral:sRNA from 1 species